CUGGGCGUAAGGGUGUGUAGGCGGUUGUUUAAGUUUGGUGUGAAAUCUCCCGGCUCAACUGGGAGGGUGCGCCGAAUACUGAAUGACUUGGAGUGCGGGAGAGGAAAGUGGAAUUCCUGGUGUAGCGGUGAAAUGCGUAGAUAUCAGGAGGAACACCGGUGGUGUAGACGGCUUUCUGGACCGUAACUGACGCUGAGACACGAAAGCGUGGGUAGCAAACAGGAUUAGAUACCCUGGUAGUCCACGCCCUAAACGAUGCAUAUUUGGUGUGGGCAGUUCAUUCUGUCCGUGCCGGAGCUAACGCGUUAAAUAUGCCGCCUGGGGAGUACAGUCGCAAGGCUGAAACUCAAAGGAAUUGACGGGGGCCCGCACAAGCGGUGGAGCAUGUGGUUCAAUUCGACGCAACGCGAAGAACCUUACCUGGGCUCGAACGGCUGGUCAACGGCGGUGGAAACAUCGCUACCCCGCAAGGGGGUCCAGUCGAGGUGCUGCAUGGCUGUCGUCAGCUCGUGUCGUGAGAUGUUGGGUUAAGUCCCGCAACGAGCGCAACCCUUGUCCUGUGUUGCCAUCAUUUAGUUGGGAACUCGCAGGAGACCGCCAGCGAUAAGUUGGAGGAAGGUGGGGAUGA
rnacentral:rRNA from 1 species